rnacentral:tRNA from 1 species
GGAUGUAGCGCAGCUUGGUAGCGCAUCUGACUGGGGGUCAGGAGGCCGUAGGUUCAAAUCCUAUCAUCC